UACGAAGGGUGCAAGCGUUGUUCGGAUUUAUUGGGCGUAAAGGGCGUGUAGGCGGACUGAUAAGUCAGGUGUGAAAUCUCGGGGCUUAACCCCGAAACUGCGCCUGAAACUGUUAGUCUAGAAUCUCGGAGAGGGUGGCGGAAUUUCGCAUGUAGGAGUAAAAUCCGUAGAGAUGCGAAGGAACACUUGUGGCGAAGGCGGCCACCUGGACGAGUAUUGACGCUGAGGCGCGAAAGCGUGGGGAGCAAACAGG
rnacentral:rRNA from 1 species